rnacentral:lncRNA from 1 species
AGAAUUAAUUAUGAUCAAUUUGCAAAUUGUUAAGAAAACUUUAUCAUAUCAUCAAUUUAAAAAUUGUCAAAGUAACAAUUUAUUCCAAUUGUGUUCAGAAAUUUUUUUUUUUGCCAGUUUUUUACUUAAUAUAUAUAUAUAUUUACCCGUUUUCUUAAUGUUAAUCAGUACUAUCAUGAUGUAAAAAAUUUAAAAGUAAUAAUUGUAUUUAAGUUAAAUAAAACAUUCUUAAGUUUAUUCAUUAUUUAUGACAUAUCAAAGGGUCCAAGUCCACCGAUAGAUUAGAUUAGAAUGUCUGUUGUGCUCGUAAUGCUUCCAUUUAUAAAGUUUAUUGUAAAAUACUUUAAGUCGCAGCAUCGUCAUCUGUGCCAAUUUGAAAAGGAAUAUUUGCUCAGCUAACGAAAGUUUCCUCUUAUUAAUCUGUUGCACAUUCUUCAAAUAUAGUCGAAACAUGAAACCGAUUAAACUUAAGCCAUCGAAUAAUUGAAAAAUAGCUGUGAAUUAAUGUUCCUUUUCUAAAAAAAAAAAAAUUUAAAAAACUGUGUGUUUUUAGUAUAACCUAGAUUCUUUUUUAUAAAAUCUUAACAAUAUGGGGAACAAAAGUCUUUAAUAACAAAAACAUUGUUGAAUAUUCUUCAGACUUUUGUUUAGAAUUGUGAGUUCAACAGUUGACUGUGAUACUUUUGACCAACUGGCAGAUUCAUAAGUACUGUAUUUAUUUGUAUAAAACUGUAAUAAUAAAUAUUAAAAUACGCUAAUCUUCAGCUUCUACCUAUGUAUUCUGUAUUUAAUAAUCUUUUAAAUCAGAAGAAGCCAAUAUAAAUUAUUCUGUAAUAAUAAUAAUAAUAAUUCUGGUCAACAAUAAUAUACUGAUUUUGGGGAAUUGUGUUUGAUGUUACAUUUUUUUAAGAGAGCAUUUUUGCCAAUAUUUUUAUUUUUGUUGUAAUGUAGUAACAAAAAUGCACUCUCCCAAGAUGUAUAGCAUUUUUAUUGUAAAAUUUAUGAUUAUGAUAUUGUUCAAUUGUGAUUGUACAGAUGAUAAAAAAAUUGUAUAUUUAUUCUUGCAAAACAAUUAUUUCUUACUUGAUCUCAGAAAUGAUGUUGGUUUCUCUACCAACUACUCUACUUCUCUGUACAAAAGGGAUUUUAAACAAUUCUUAAUUAAAGAUAUUUGAA